rnacentral:rRNA from 1 species
AGAGCGAACGCUGGCGGCAGGCCUAACACAUGCAAGUCGAACGGACCCUUCGGGGUUAGUGGCGGACGGGUGAGUAACACGUGGGAACGUGCCUUUUGGUUCGGAAUAGCUCCUGGAAACGGGUGGUAAUGCCGAAUGUGCCCUUCGGGGGGAAGAUUUAUCGCCAUUAGAGCGGCCCGCGUCUGAUUAGCUAGUUGGUGAGGUAAAGGCUCACCAAGGCUACGAUCAGUAGCUGGUCUGAGAGGAUGACCAGCCACAUUGGGACUGAGACACGGCCCAAACUCCUACGGGAGGCAGCAGUGGGGAAUCUUGCGCAAUGGGCGAAAGCCUGACGCAGCCAUGCCGCGUGAAUGAUGAAGGUCUUAGGAUUGUAAAAUUCUUCACCGGGACGAUAAUGACGGUACCCGGAGAAGAAGCCCGCUAACUUCGUGCCAGCAGCCGC